CUCUAGAUAUUAAAGCAAUCGUGCACAGAGAUUCUGAGCGUGGAGCCGUCCACCGUCUGUGUGAACCAGUCCUUCGACAUCGUCCUCAGAGGAAACGGCUUCAAACUCGGCCGCAGCAGCGAAGGCGUCGUCUGCAGCUUCAUAGUCGACCAGCAAACCAUCAAUAACAAGCCGAGCACAGUGCGCAAUGAUUAUCUGCUGUGUCCUGCACCGAGGCUCUAUGAAGUCGGACAG